UACGUAGGGUGCGAGCGUUAAUCGGAAUUACUGGGCGUAAAGCGUGCGCAGGCGGUUUUGUAAGCCAGAUGUGAAAUCCCCGGGCUUAACCUGGGAAUGGCAUUUGGGACUGCAAGGCUCGAGUGCGGCAGAGGAGACUGGAAUUCCUGGUGUAGCAGUGAAAUGCGUAGAUAUCAGGAAGAACACCUAUGGCGAAGGCAGCUCUCUGGGACGGUACUGACGCUGAGACGCGAAAGCGUGGGGAGCGAACAGG
rnacentral:rRNA from 1 species